rnacentral:rRNA from 1 species
GCAGCGGGGAGGUAGCAAUACUUUCGCCGGCGACCGGCGCACGGGUGAGUAACACGUAUGGAACCUGCCCGUAGCAGGGGGAUAAGCGGAAGAAAUUCCGUCUAAUACCGCGUAAUAACUCCGAGAGGCAUCUCAUGGAGUUUAAAGGGUAACACCGGCUACGGAUGGCCAUGCGGCGCAUUAGCUAGUUGGCGGGGUAACGGCCCACCAAGGCGACGACGCGUAGGGGUUCUGAGAGGAAGGUCCCCCACACUGGUACUGAGACACGGACCAGGCUCCUACGGGAGGCAGCAGUGAGGAAUAUUGGUCAAUGGGCGCGAGCCUGAACCAGCCAAGUCGCGUGAGGGAAGACGGUCCUAUGGAUUGUAAACCUCUUUUGCAGGGGAGCAAGGCGCGGUACGUGUACCGCGAAGGAGAGUACCCUGAGAAAAAGCAUCGGCUAACUCCGUGCCAGCAGCCGCGGUAAUACGGAGGAUGCGAGCGUUAUCCGGAUUUAUUGGGUUUAAAGGGUGCGCAGGCGGACUGUUAAGUCAGCGGUAAAAUGUCGGUGCUCAACACCGGCCGGCCGUUGAAACUGGCAGCCUUGAGUGAGCGAGAAGUAUGCGGAAUGCGUGGUGUAGCGGUGAAAUGCAUAGAUAUCACGCAGAACUCCGAUUGCGAAGGCAGCAUACCGGCGCUCAACUGACGCUCAGGCACGAAAGCGUGGGUAUCGAACAGGCUUAGAUACCCUGGUAGUCCACGCAGUAAACGAUGAAUGCUCACUGUCCGGGCCGUUUAAGGCCUGGGUGGUCAAGCGAAAGCGUUAAGCAUUCCACCUGGGGAGUACGCCGGCAACGGUGAAACU